rnacentral:rRNA from 1 species
AACGAACGCUGGCGGCAGGCCUAACACAUGCAAGUCGAGCGAGCAUUUCGGUGCUAGCGGCGGACGGGUGAGUAACGCGUGGGAACGUGCCCUUUUCUGCGGAAUAGUCCUGGGAAACUGGGGGUAAUACCGCAUACGCCCUUUUGGGGAAAGAUUUAUCGGAGAAGGAUCGGCCCGCGUUGGAUUAGGUAGUUGGUGGGGUAAUGGCCCACCAAGCCGACGAUCCAUAGCUGGUUUGAGAGGAUGAUCAGCCACACUGGGACUGAGACACGGCCCAGACUCCUACGGGAGGCAGCAGUGGGGAAUCUUAGACAAUGGGGGCAACCCUGAUCUAGCCAUGCCGCGUGAGUGAUGAAGGCCUUAGGGUUGUAAAGCUCUUUCAGCUGGGAAGAUAAUGACGGUACCAGCAGAAGAAGCCCCGGCUAACUCUGUG